AAAUUGCGGGCCGGAGGGAUCACCUGAUUUUCAGAUCGGGUCACUGAAAUUCUCAAAAAAAAAAAAUUGGGUUGGAUCAUCGAAUUUUCGAACGCCAAUACUUACGAACUUCAUUUUUUUUUUGUUUUUUAAUAAACACAACAUCAUGUUCGUCUUUAGCAACCAAACCUUACAAAUUAGAAUCAAAGAUGAAGUCAAUGGGCUUAGCCACUUUCUUAACUUUAAUUUCUUCUAUCACUCGGACUUUUCUUUGGGCUUUUCAUUGGUCGUUCAACACUCAAAAGUCAAAACAAACCAUCAUCAAACACUCAAUCUCAAUCUGUUAGUCUAUCAGUGUCAAUCAAUACCUCCCUUGUUCCUCAUUUCUUUCAUUUGCCUCUAAAUCUCUAAUUACACGAAAUUACUACUCCCUAAUUACAAAUUAAUAAGUUUUUAUUAACUAAUUCUCUAAUAAGAAUUGUGGAAGAAAUUAUCAAUAAUGGCGAGGCCGGGUAAAAGAAGAAGAGGAAGGCCCCGUAAAUACCCUGUUCCACAAUAUCCUCCUGAGUUUUUCAAAAUUUAUCUACCAGAACACAAUUCUAAGCAAUUGGUAAUACCUCCUGGUUUUAUAAGGAAUUUCAGAGAGAAGACUCCAUAAUCUUGAAAAGCUUAAAAGGAGAAGUUUGGAAUGUGGAUCUGGAAAAGGAAGGAGGCCAGUUACUUAUGAAAAAGGGUUGGGAAGACUUUGUGACAGGCACUUCAGUAGCGCGAGGAGUGUUUUUGGUCUUUACAUACAAAGGGAAUUCCGUGUUCGUUGUCAAAAUAUUCAGUAUCAAUGGAUGUGUGAAGGAGGAUGAACCUAUGGGCACCAAUGAUCAGCCUCAUGUGACAUUGAAGCAGGAGCCAAACUUUGAUGAAAAUUAUAGCCAUCAUACUGAUGUCUGAGAAUAUAUAUUUAGAAAGAAGCACGAAAAUAGAGCAGAUGUCUCAAGAUACGCAUGAAGUAAUGACAAGAGGUGUUUCAGAAGGAUACAUUGAUUCAAAGAGGAUACGAUUUACAAGUGUUAAUAAGGGAAAGAUAUAUGAAUUGGUAAUUAUUUUUAUAUAUGUUUGCAUUAUAGUUUAUACUGCCUUUUUCUGUUCAUUAAGCUUCCGUUUUUCGUCCAAUAUUUUAUAGUAUCAAAUGUAUACAUUAAUUAUGACACAUUUAUGUAGGCAUGCUAAGAGUAAAAUGUUCCAAGAAGAUGAAGGGUAUUAUGUGAUAAUCUCUGUUAUGAACUGUAUAAUACAAAGUUAGAAAAAUAAAUAACUAAAGCUGAAAUGAUCAGGCAAUUCUUUUUA